rnacentral:rRNA from 1 species
AGUGAACGCUGGCGGUAGGCCUAACACAUGCAAGUCGAACGGCAGCACAGUAAGAGCUUGCCCUUACGGGUGGCGAGUGGCGGACGGGUGAGGAAUACAUCGGAAUCUACUUUUUCGUGGGGGAUAACGUAGGGAAACUUACGCUAAUACCGCAUACGACCUACGGGUGAAAGCAGGGGAUCUUCGGACCUUGCGCGAUUGAAUGAGCCGAUGUCGGAUUAGCUAGUUGGCGGGGUAAAGGCCCACCAAGGCGACGAUCCGUAGCUGGUCUGAGAGGAUGAUCAGCCACACUGGAACUGAGACACGGUCCAGACUCCUACGGGAGGCAGCAGUGGGGAAUAUUGGACAAUGGGCGCAAGCCUGAUCCAGCAAUACCGCGUGGGUGAAGAAGGCCUUCGGGUUGUAAAGCCCUUUUGUUGGGAAAGAAAAGCAGCAGGUUAAUACCCCGCUGUUCUGACGGUACCCAAAGAAUAAGCACCGGCUAACUUCGUG